AUUGAACGCUGGCGGCAGGCCUAACACAUGCAAGUCGAGCGGAUGAAGGGAGCUUGCUCCUGGAUUCAGCGGCGGACGGGUGAGUAAUGCCUAGGAAUCUGCCUGGUAGUGGGGGAUAACGUCCGGAAACGGGCGCUAAUACCGCAUACGUCCUGAGGGAGAAAGUGGGGGAUCUUCGGACCUCACGCUAUCAGAUGAGCCUAGGUCGGAUUAGCUAGUUGGUGGGGUAAAGGCCUACCAAGGCGACGAUCCGUAACUGGUCUGAGAGGAUGAUCAGUCACACUGGAACUGAGACACGGUCCAGACUCCUACGGGAGGCAGCGGUGGGAAAUAUUGGACAAUGGGCGAAAGCCUGAUCCAGCCAUGCCGCGUGUGUGAAGAAGGUCUUCGGAUUGUAAAGCACUUUAAGUUGGGAGGAAGGGAAGUAAGUUAAUACCUUGCUGUUUUGACGUUACCAACAGAAUAAGCACCGGCUAACUUCGU
rnacentral:rRNA from 1 species